UUAGGGGGAAAAAUUUUAAACCACCCUUUUUUGGUAGGGGGGACCACUACUCUCUUGGGUUAUACUUGAAUUUCAAAACAGGAUGGUGCAUAUUUUUAUAGGCCUACUGGCUAGAAGUGGUACAAACAGAUCUUCAUGAGUUAUAAGUGCCAUUGAAGUGUGGCUUAAAUGUAAAUAACGGUUUGGUGCCUGAUAAUUUAGGAGAUGAG
rnacentral:lncRNA from 1 species